UUGCUUCAGUAGCACAUAUAUUAAAAAUGGAAACAAUACAGAGAUCAGCCUAUCCCCUAUGCAAGAAAGAAAUGAUACACAUUCAUGAAGUAUUACAUAUUUUU